AGAGUUUGAUCCUGGCUCAGAAUCAACGCUGGCGGCGUGCCUAACACAUGCAAGUCGAACGAGAAAGGGUAGCAAUACCUGAGUAAAGUGGCGCACGGGUGAGUAACACGUGACUAACCUACCCUGGAGUGGGGGAUAACUGAGGGAAACCUUAGCUAAUACCGCAUAACACCUACGGGUCAAAGGAGCAAUUCGCUUCAGGAGGGGGUCGCGGCCGAUUAGUUAGUUGGCGGGGUAAUGGCCCACCAAGACGAUGAUCGGUAUCCGGCCUGAGAGGGCGCACGGACACACUGGAACUGAAACACGGUCCAGACUCCUACGGGAGGCAGCAGUGGGGAAUUUUGCGCAAUGGGGGAAACCCUGACGCAGCAACGCCGCGUGGAGGAUGAAGUCCUUCGGGACGUAAACUCCUUUCGAUCGGGACGAUUAUGACGGUACCGGAAGAAGAAGCCCCGGCUAACUUCGUGCCAGCAGCCGCGGUAAUACGAGGGGGGCGAGCGUUGUUCGGAAUUAUUGGGCGUAAAGGGUGCGUAGGCGGUUUGGUAAGUCUUCUGUGAAAUCUAUGGGCUCAACUCAUAGACUGCAUGAGAAACUGCCGGGCUUGAGUGUGGGAGAGGUGAGUGGAAUUCCUGGUGUAGCGGUGAAAUGCGUAGAUAUCAGGAGGAACACCUGUGGCGAAAGCGGCUCACUGGACCAUAACUGACGCUGAUGUACGAAAGCUAGGGGAGCAAACAGGAUUAGAUACCCUAGUAGUCC
rnacentral:rRNA from 1 species